UCCCUGUUACCAGGGCAGUCUAGCUAGAAAAAUUCAACUAACUAUAGGGGUUGCGCUCGUUGAUGGACUUAACCAAACAUCUCACGACACGAGCUGACGACGGCCAUGCAUCACCUGUCACUUGGCUCAAUAAAGCACUCACUUCUUUCGAAGUAAUUCCAAGGAUGUCAAGCCUGGGUAAGGUUCUUCGCUUACCUUCGAAUUAAACAACACGCUCCACUACUUGUGCGGGUCCCCGUCAAUUCCUUUAUGUUUUAGUCUUGCGACCGUACUCCACAGGCGGGGUGCUUAACGCGUUAGCUUCGCUACUGAAGGGGUCGAUACCUCCAACAGCUAGCACCCAUCGUUUACGGCGUGGACUAC
rnacentral:misc_RNA from 1 species